rnacentral:rRNA from 1 species
AUUGAACGCUGGCGGCAUGCCUUACACAUGCAAGUCGAACGGCAGCACGGGAGCAAUCCUGGUGGCGAGUGGCGAACGGGUGAGUAAUAUAUCGGAACGUGCCCAGCCGUGGGGAUAACGUAGCGAAAGCUACGCUAAUACCGCAUACGAUCUAUGGAUGAAAGCGGGGGAUCGCAAGACCUCGCGCGAUUGGAGCGGCCGAUAUCAGAUUAGGUAGUUGGUGAGGUAAAGGCUCACCAAGCCGACGAUCUGUAGCUGGUCUGAGAGGACGACCAGCCACACUGGGACUGAGACACGGCCCAGACUCCUACGGGAGGCAGCAGUGGGGGAAUUUUUGGGACAAUGGGCGCAAGCCUGAUCCAGCAAUGCCGCGUGCAGGAUGAAGGCCUUCGGGUUG